rnacentral:rRNA from 1 species
UACAGAGGUCCCAAGCGUUGUUCGGAUUCACUGGGCGUAAAGGGUGCGUAGGUGGCGAGGUAAGUCGGAUGUGAAAUCUCCGAGCUCAACUCGGAAAUGGCAUUGGAAACUACCUUGCUCGAGGGUUGGAGGGGGGACUGGAAUGCUUGGUGUAGCAGUGAAAUGCGUAGAUAUCAAGCGGAACACCAGUGGCGAAGGCGAGUCCCUGGACAACUCCUGACACUGAGGCACGAAAGCUAGGGGAGCAAACAGG